rnacentral:rRNA from 1 species
GACGAACGCUGGCGGCGUGCUUAACACAUGCAAGUCGAGCGGUAAGGCCCUUUCGGGGGUACACGAGCGGCGAACGGGUGAGUAACACGUGGGUGACCUGCCCUCAGCUCUGGGAUAAGCCUGGGAAACCGGGUCUAAUACCGGAUAUGACUCCAUGACGCAUGUUGUGGGGUGGAAAGCCUUGCGCGGCUGAGGAUGGGCCCGCGGCCUAUCAGCUUGUUGGUGGGGUGAUGGCCACCAAGGCGACGACGGGUAGCCGGCCUGAGAGGGCGACCAGCCACACUGGGACUGAGACACGGCCCAGACUCCUACGGGAGGCAGCAGUGGGGAAUCUUGCGCAAUGGGCGAAAGCCUGACGCAGCGACGCCGCGUGAGGGAUGACGGCCU